rnacentral:rRNA from 1 species
UGGGUAGUCCGCACGAGCGCACCCUAUCCUUAGUUGCCAGCGAGUAAUGUCGGGAACUCUAGGGAGACUGCCGGUGACAAACCGGAGGAAGGUGGGGACGACGUCAAGUCAUCAUGGCCCUUAUGGGCAGGGCUACACACGUGCUACAAUGGCCGGUACAGAGGGCAGCGAUGUCGCAAGGCGGAGCAAAUCUCAGAAAACCGGUCGUAGUCCGGAUUGCAGUCUGCAACUCGACUGCAUGAAGUUGGAAUCGCUGGUAAUCGCGGAUCAGAAUGCCGCGGUGAAUACGUUCCCGGGCCUUGUACACACCGCCCGUCACACCAUGGGAGUGGGCUGUACCAGAAGUAGGUAGUCUAACCUUCGGGAGGACGCUUACCACGGUGUGGUUCAUGACUGGGGUGAAGUCGUAACGAGGUAGCCCUAGGGGAACCUGGGGCUGGAUCACCUCCUU